GGAGGAAGUAGGGGAUCGCAAGACCUUGCGCUUUUGGAGCGGCCGAUGCCUGAUUAGCUUGUUGGUGAGGUAAAAGCUCACCAAGGCUCCGAUCAGUAGCUGGUCUGAGAGGACGACCAGCCACACUGGGACUGAGACACGGCCCAGACUCCUACGGGAGGCAGCAGUGGGGAAUUUUGGACAAUGGGGGCAACCCUGAUCCAGCCAUGCCGCGUGAGUGAAGAAGGCCUUCGGGUUGUAAAGCUCUUUCAGCCGGAACGAAACGGUCACGGUUAAUACCCGUGACUACUGACGGUACCGGAAGAAGAAGCACCGGCUAACUACGUGCCAGCAGCCGCGGUAAUACGUAGGGUGCGAGCGUUAAUCGGAAUUACUGGGCGUAAAGCGUGCGCAGGCGGUUUUGUAAGUCAGAUGUGAAAUCCCCGGGCUUAACCUGGGAACCGCGUUUGAAACUACAAAGCUAG
rnacentral:rRNA from 1 species